AGUAGUGGAAACAGUACCUGGAGAGUAAAUAUCUGAUGUCACCAUAGCCAGAUCAGUUGGAAGCUCUGCUCAAAGGAAACCAGUGCUGUGUGACGGGCACAGAACAGCAAAGAAGUGAUGAUCUCCAUGAGCUUUUUGAUGUACAUCUGGCAACAACCAUUUGAGUGGAGAAAGGAUUCAAGAUAAGAACAGAAAUUGGACAAAAACAUCAAGCAGAAGCCCAGUCAGGAGGGCAAUGAUAUGGGGACUUGGAUAAUUUUUAGCCAUAAGCUCCCAUGCAUCUUGACUCUGAAGAGACAAAGGGCAUCUUUACAGAUCCCAAGGCAAUCAAGAGGCCCCAGGAGAAUUCCCAACACUGCAAAGCUACAAACACAUGCAACUCUUCCAAAGCCAAGCUGUGUUACCAGGGAAGGAAAGAGCUUUUACUUUGGGUAUGCAAGCUGCUUGUUUGGAAAUAAAGUUGGUCCCUAGGCUCCAGUAGAGUCAAAACAUUGCUCCAUGCUACCUGCUGCCUUAGGUCUAGAGUGGGGCCUAAGAAUCUGCAUUUCAAACGAUAUCCCAAGUAAAGUUAAUACUGCUGGCAAGGGGACUACAUAUUGGGAAUCACCGGCAUUAAGCUACUCAAUUUAUAAAGGAAACUCCAAUGACCAGCUGGCCUAAGUUCUCCAAUGACCAGCCUGUCUGCCAAGUUCAGGAAAGGGGGAGAGCAACACCAAGAGAUCAGAAAAAGGCAUAGAAGGGCAGCUGCUGGACGCUGUGAAGAGACGCAACCUGCAGUUUUAUCAAGGAGCUCAUAAGGAAAGGUAUCACAGAGCAUGUAACCUUUUAAGACUGGAUUCUUAUACCCAGAAGUGGUAUUUCUGGAUCAAAGGAUUCCUGCUCAUGACAAUGAAUACAACUAUUUGGUACUGGAAGUCAACUGGAUAGAAGAUGCUUGCUGGAAACUAGUCUAUGUUAUAAAGCCUAGAAUAGCUACCCUAGACUAAAAGAAAAAAGGCGGCAAGGAAAAAUUAACAAAUAACUACCAUACAAUGCCACCUCUCUUUGAAUAAAGAAGUGGAGCUUAUAUCUCCUCCCCUUGAA